rnacentral:rRNA from 1 species
GACGAACGCUGGCGGCGUGCUUAACACAUGCAAGUCGAACGGUGAUGACAGGGCUUGCCUUGUCGGAUCAGUGGCGAACGGGUGAGUAACACGUGAGUAACCUGCCCCAGACUCUGGGAUAACCCCGGGAAACCGGAGCUAAUACCGGAUAUGACACGGAGAGGCAUCUCUACCGUGUGGAAAGUUUUUCGGUCUGGGAUGGCCUCGCGGCCUAUCAGCUUGUUGGUGAGGUAGUGGCUCACCAAGGCGACGACGGGUAGCCGGCCUGAGAGGGCGACCGGCCACAGUGGGAGUGAGAAGCGGGACAGACUCCUACGGGAGGCAGCAGUGGGGAAUAUUGCACAAUGGGGGCAAGCCUGAUGCAGCGGCGCCGCGUGAGGGAUGACGGCCUUCGGGUUGUAAACCUCUUUCAGCAGGGAAGAAGCGCAAGUGACGGUACCUGCAGAAGAAGCACCGGCUAACUACGUGCCAGCCGCCGCCGUAACAC